UUUUGAUUAACUGAUUACGCAUCGUAAACACGUUUUUCUAUCGACGAUUUUGAGCAUGUUACCGAUAGAAAACAUCUUCAUGUGGUUCAUCUUUAUUCUAAAUACAAAGUAGAUCUAGGAAGUCAAUGGCAGACUACCCAGGACCAUUCUGUCAUGAAAAUGGUAUAACAACCUCUCUUUAGAAGAAGGCAGAAACCUUGUAGCCUAUAAACAGGCAGAAGAAUGGACUCAUUCUUGAAAUAAAUACUUUUAUAGAAAAAAUGGGGAAAUUUCAA